CAAUUGGGUCUCGCGCAACAGGAACCUCUGAACCGUGUCAGGUCGGGAACGGAGCAGCACUAAGGAGUCUCUCCUGUGUGCCGUGAGGGUGCCUGGUUCGAGC
rnacentral:SRP_RNA from 1 species